GUCUGCCACUGCAAAUGCCAGGUUAGCUGGAUCAUAGACAUCUGAGGAUUCUCCCAUCUGCCUCUCUUACUCCUCAGUGUAUGGGCACCAUGGUUACAGACGCAGAGGUUCCAUCACGCCCAGCUUAACACAGGUGCUGGGGGUCUGAACUCAGGUCUGCAGGCCUUUGCGGCAAACACUUUUCCACAUACCAUCUCGUUUGUUUGAGAUGUGGCGGGGCUGGGGAGGGGGGUAACCUCACUGUAUAGCUCAGGCUAGCCUUAAACUCAUAGAGAUCCGUCUGUCUCUGCCUGCCCAGUGCUGGGUAAGAUUAAAGGUCUGUGCCGUCACACCCUGCCAUCCCCAGCCCCCACGCAAUCUGUACUGCUCUUUGUGAGUGUAGGGUUUGAAGUGGGUUUCGUUGGUUUUGUUUUGCUUAGUGUCCUAUGCCGGGCAUUGAACUCCAGCCUUUUUCCAUGCCAGACAAGUGCUCUACUGAUAGGGCUUAGGAGAGAAUCUCCAGAUGGGAUACAGACUUUGUUUCACAUUAAGAACAUUUGUCAGGGCUGGAGAGAUGGCUCAUCAAUUAAGAGCACUGGCUGUUCUUCCAGAGGACCUGAGUUCAAUUCCCAGCACACACAUGGCAGCUCACAACUGUCUGCAACUCCAGUUUCAGUUGAAUCUGAUAUCCUCGCACAGACAUACAUACAGGCAAAGCACCUAAGAACAUAAAAUAAAAUAAAAAUAAAUAAUUUAAGGAAAAAACCCCACUCAGUCAGACUCAGGUGUUGGGAUUUUCAGGAGGGGUAGGCAGUGGUGUCUUGCUGAAGGAAGUAGGUGUGGGCGUUGAGCGUACACGGCCUCACUGGAUCCCAGUUCUCUCUGCUCUUCUUCCUGCUUGUGCUUGGGAGGUGACCUCUCAGCUUCCGGUUCCUGCCGCCAUGUCUGCAGCGUGCUGCCCCGUCUCCAGUGCUUCCCUGAAACACCGUGGACUAUUUUCUCUCUGGAACCGGAAACCAGAGUAAACUGUUCUGUCCAUAUGUGCUUUUGGUCGUGGUGUUUUAUCACAGCAACAGAAAAAUGGCACCAGAGGCCCUGGCCUAACUUUCUGGCAGAUCAAACUCAUGUUUGGCUUGUGCCCGCCUUAUGACCACACUGUCUGGGCUUGACUGAGGAAGAUCUUGAGCUUCAGAAAGGCAACAGCUUUUGGAAUAGCUGCUGUUCCAGUUGUUCGGGACCCACAUGAAGACCAAGCUGCCCAUCUGCUACGUAUGUGCUGGGAGGCCUAGGUCCACCCUGUGUAUGUUCUUUGGCUGGUGGUUCAGAUUCUGAAAGCCCCAAGGAUCCAGGUUAGUUGACUCUGUUGUUCUUCUUGUGAAAUUCCUAAACCCCUCAGGACACGCAAUCCUUCCUGCUAUUCGUCCAUACGAGUCCCCAAGCUCCAUCCACUGUUUGGCUGUGGGUAUCUUUUCCAUCUGAGUCAGCUGCUGGAGCCUCUUAGAGGACAGCACUUCUGUCUGUAUGGUUCUGUCUGUAUGAAGGUGGAGGAGAGGUUGGGGGAGAAUGGAGGUACCCCUGGGAGAACAGACUGCUGGGGGUGGGGGCGGGGUGGGGUGGGUGACCUUAAACAAGAGAAACACAGAAGCAGCCUAGGCCUGCAGGCUCUAGUUCCCCUGCUGUGAUAAGUAGGGGCAGCUCAGAGAGUUAGAGGUUAGAAGCUGCUUGCUUCUUUAACAAAGUUGUUUGGAAAAUGAUUUAAUUUAGAUUUGGUUUAAUUGCUUUAAAGAUAGACUAAUACUCUAUUUAGUCUUACAGGGUACCCAUAUUCUUUGUACAUGGGCUUCUCCACAAGGAUUGUGGGUUAAAAGUCCUAGUUAGACAAGCUGCCAGCUUCUUACUGACAGGUACUAAUGGAACUGUGAUUAAGUUGGUUUUUAUAGUUAGGAGAGGAGAGUACAGAGUUUGUCUGAAUCACGUGGGGAUUUUCACCCUUGGUUCUGAACUAAGAUAGGGAAAAUUAGUCACUGACUCCAAGUAGAGCUGGUGAUAUUUACAAGUUAAUGAGGUUAUUAAAAAUGGAAGUCUGUAUACCAGGCAGGGUGAAUACAGACAUAUAUUAUAGAGUUAAUAAUAAAUAAAAAUCUGAGGCUCUGGGUAGAGAGCUUGACAGAUCAAUGUAUUUUGGGCUAAAGUCUUGGCUAAAUAAGUUGCUUACUUCUUAUUGGUAUUGGAAUUGAUAGAAGGUGUUUAAUUUGUUUUAUGAAUUACCCCGCUAAAGGCCAUAUGGCUCGACAACACCAGCUAUCAAGGGUUUAUGGUUAUCUUUGAUAUUUACCACAAUGGGAAGCUCAGGUUAUCUUAACAUGGGCUCCAUGGGAAUUUUGGGUUAAUUUCCUGUUAUGACAGAUUAGAAAAGCCUAAACAGUUUACACUACUGUUCGGCUGACUUCUUUUUUUUUUUAAAUUGUUUUCAUUUUCAUAAUGGGUGUCUUGUUAUAUUAUUCCUCUGGGAGAGAGUGCAAGAUAGAAACUUUUCUGGUUAUAGACUAAAGAGCACGAUAUUUUGGGAGAAAGGUUUUGUCUUUCUGUUUUUAAAAAGGGUGAUUAGGCUCUGGACACCUUCCAGAGUUAUAUGGAUCAGAUUUGAUAAAGGGAGAUAGCCCGAAAAACUAGAUUCAAGAGAAUCAAACAAAAAGAUAUCUUGAUGAUGCUAAAACUUUGGCCUUGAGUAUUAUACAUUGCAGAAUGUACCUGCUUGGAUUCCUGAUCUCAAGGACUUUCAGCUGGGUCCAGUCAGCACAGACACAUCAGGAGAGCAAGUGACAAGUAGAAAUAUGUCCUGAAUGUGGGCAGCAUCACCCACUGAGCUGGGGCCCGGAUGGGAUAAAUGUUGGGGAGGAAGCCAGCCAGUAUAUGUGAGCUCAGCUCUGAGCCAGUGUGUUAACUGUUGCUGCUGUCGUCCUGGGCAUCCGACUCCAGCUUCUUCAUCCCUUCAAUGUAGACUGACUCGGACAACUCUCCUUCAGCCUGGGCUUGAGACCGCAUCAUUGUGCCCCCUGGUUCUGAGAAGCCUGCAGGGGGCCACUGCUGGACAAUUCAGUUUCCUAUUGUGCAAGUCACUUGAAUAAAGCCAAUAGUCUACUGGAUCUGUUAUGAGAGACGGCCCCAAGGCACGGACAUAUUCUCAGCCUGAAUCCACAAAGCCCAGGAUAGCAGAAAUGUCAAAGCCAGUACCAUGGUCAAACGUUUGCAAGAGACUCCAACAGAGCUGCUGGUGACGUGUCCCUUGAAAGAAAGCAGUAAGGGAUUGUGUUGUUCACGGUGUCAUUCUGGGCCCUCAGAACCCCGGAUGCCCCUGGGUUCGGUCCCCAGCUCCGGAAAAAAAAGAACCCCGGAUGCACAGUUGGCCCCUCCUGGUUCAGCCCCCAGACAUGACAAUUAGUUGUGGGUUUUUUUUUUUCUGAUUUUAUUAAUUUUAUUUGUGUGUAUGAGUGCUCUGCCUACGUGUGUAAGUGUGUAGCAUAUGUAUACCUGGUGGUGGAAGAGGCAGGACACAGUAUAGGAUCCCCUAGGGCUGGAAUUAUAGACAAUUGUGAGUCCCAUCUGAGAGCUGGGAGCCGAACCCCAGCUUUGGAUAAUAUUAACCACUAAGCCAUCUCUGCAGGCCCUCGCUGUGAGAUUUGGGGGUUUUGUUUGUUGUUUGUUUUGAGACAAAGUCUUACUGGGUAGCUCUGAUUGUCCAGGAAUAUGUAGACCAAGCUGGCCUUGAACUCACAGAGAUCCUUCUGCCUCUGCCUCUGCCUCUGCCUCCCAAGUGCUGGGACUAAAGGUGUGCGCCACAAUGCCCGGCCUCUAGAUGUGAGAUUUUGAACACAUUUCCAUAACACUAACUGGGUCUAAAUAUUCUCAUCUAUAAAAUGAGGGAAAGGAAGAAGGACUUGUUCUGUGGUUUAUUAUCAAACUUUAAUGAUUUAAACAGUAUACUGGCCUGCCUUUGGAUCCUUUUCCCCUGCUGGGCUGCCUCCUCUGGCCUCAAUGGGAGAGAUGUGUUUGGUCCUGAUGAAACUUGAUGUAGCAGGGCAAGUUGGCACCAGCGGCUGUGGGGGAGAAUCCUCUUCUCUGAGGGGAAGUGGGGGAUGGGACGAGGGAGUGGGAGGGUAGGACUAGGAGGAAAGGAGGGAGAGGGACUGUGAUCAGGAUGUAAAUUGAAUAAAUAAAUGAAUUAAUGAAAAUAAAUAAAUAAAAAUAUAAACAGUA